GGAUGUGAGAGCGAUCUGGCUGCGACAUCUGUCACCCCACUGAUCACCAGGGUUGAUUCGGCUGAUCUGGCUGGCUAGGCAGGUGUCCCCUUCCUCCCUCACCACUCCAUGUGUGUCCCUCCCGAAGCUGCGCUCUUGGUCGAAGAGGACGGCCUUCCUCAAAUAGACAGUGGAGGGUAUAUGACAAGUAGCCACGCUCCCCUGCUAGAACCUCCAAACAAGCUCUCAAAUGACUUCAGAAUAUUAAGUCUGAUAUAGCAUAUUGUAGUAAUAAUUGAGUUGAGAAAACAGGCAGUAAGAACAAAAAACAGGAGCCAGGUGGCGGUACACCUGGUU
rnacentral:snRNA from 1 species